AACCCACGUCUCCUGCCUUGCAGGCAGCUUCUUUACCACUGAGCCACCAGGGAAGCCUGGGAGAAAACCCAGCAACAGCAGAGACAACUGCAAGCCUCUGCCCCUCCCAGUUCAGCCCCAUCUUCCUGGCCAGGCCCUCACUUUUAGCCACAGUCUCAGUCCAGCCUCACCCUGUGCCUGGGAAGUGAAGAAAGGCACUUCUAAACAAAGCUCAAGUGGCGGUUGGCUUCCCGCCUGGCCCAAAGGAGCCAGACUCGGCUAAUAGCAACGCAGCCUCCGAAGACCCUUCACACUCUUCCCACACUGCCAAUGUCUGUUAUUGGCCCGACUCCCACGGGAGCUUC